rnacentral:rRNA from 1 species
GAUAAACGCUGGCGGCGUGCCUAAUACAUGCAAGUCGAGCGAACGGACGAGAAGCUUGCUUCUCUGAUGUUAGCGGCGGACGGGUGAGUAACACGUGGAUAACCUACCUAUAAGACUGGGAUAACUUCGGGAAACCGGAGCUAAUACCGGAUAAUAUUUUGAACCGCAUGGUUCAAAAGUGAAAGACGGUCUUGCUGUCACUUAUAGAUGGAUCCGCGCUGCAUUAGCUAGUUGGUAAGGUAACGGCUUACCAAGGCAACGAUGCAUAGCCGACCUGAGAGGGUGAUCGGCCACACUGGAACUGAGACACGGUCCAGACUCCUACGGGAGGCAGCAGUAGGGAAUCUUCCGCAAUGGGCGAAAGCCUGACGGAGCAACGCCGCGUGAGUGAUGAAGGUCUUCGGAUCGUAAAACUCUGUUAUUGGGGAAGAACAUAUGUGUAAGUAACUGUGCACAUCUUGACGGUACCUAAUCAGAAAGCCACGGCUAACUACGUGCCAGCAGCCGCGGUAAUACGUAGGUGGCAAGCGUUAUCCGGAAUUAUUGGGCGUAAAGCGCGCGUAGGCGGUUUUUUAAGUCUGAUGUGAAAGCCCACGGCUCAACCGUGGAGGGUCAUUGGAAACUGGAAAACUUGAGUGCAGAAGAGGAAAGUGGAAUUCCAUGUGUAGCGGUGAAAUGCGCAGAGAUAUGGAGGAACACCAGUGGCGAAGGCGACUUUCUGGUCUGUAACUGACGCUGAUGUGCGAAAGCGUGGGGAUCAAACAGGAUUAGAUACCCUGGUAGUCCACGCCGUAAACGAUGAGUGCUAAGUGUUAGGGGGUUUCCGCCCCUUAGUGCUGCAGCUAACGCAUUAAGCACUCCGCCUGGGGAGUACGACCGCAAGGUUGAAACUCAAAGGAAUUGACGGGGACCCGCACAAGCGGUGGAGCAUGUGGUUUAAUUCGAAGCAACGCGAAGAACCUUACCAAAUCUUGACAUCCUUUGACAACUCUAGAGAUAGAGCCUUCCCCUUCGGGGGACAAAGUGACAGGUGGUGCAUGGUUGUCGUCAGCUCGUGUCGUGAGAUGUUGGGUUAAGUCCCGCAACGAGCGCAACCCUUAAGCUUAGUUGCCAUCAUUAAGUUGGGCACUCUAAGUUGACUGCCGGUGACAAACCGGAGGAAGGUGGGGAUGACGUCAAAUCAUCAUGCCCCUUAUGAUUUGGGCUACACACGUGCUACAAUGGACAAUACAAAGGGCAGCGAAACCGCGAGGUCAAGCAAAUCCCAUAAAGUUGUUCUCAGUUCGGAUUGUGGUCUGCAACUCGACUACAUGAAGCUGGAAUCGCUAGUAAUCGUAGAUCAGCAUGCUACGGUGAAUACGUUCCCGGGUCU